rnacentral:rRNA from 1 species
AACGUAGGAGACAAACGUUAUCCGGAGUUACUGGGCGUAAAGGGCGCGUAGGCGGCCCACUAAGUCAGACGUGAAAUCCCCCGGCUUAACCUGGGAACUGCGUCUGAUACUGGAGGGCUUGAGUAUGGGAGAGGGAUGUAGAAUUCCAGGUGUAGCGGUGAAAUGCGUAGAUAUCUGGAGGAAUACCGGUGGCGAAGGCGGCAUCCUGGACCAUUACUGACGCUGAUGCGCGAAAGCUAGGGGAGCAAACGGG